AAAUUAUAAUUUUAAUACACGAACAUAUAGGUACAAGUGAACAACUUAUCAGAGAAAGGGACGAGUACGCGAUCGAUAGUGUUGCAUAAAUACCUAAGUAUUAAAUAACAUUAAAUAAGAUACGAAAGACAACGGAUAAAUCAGUAUAAGAAGUAGUAUGAUAUAAUGCAUUAAUGCGUCAGCGUCUAUGCCAGUCCGAACCAGUCCUCAAAAUUAGAUAAUAUACAUUAUACUUGAAUAGACAAAGAAAUUAUAUUUAGUUAAAAAUAGA